CUGAAUAACUCAGCUGAUCGCACGGUCCUCGCACCGGCGACGUAUCUUUCAAGUGUCUGCCUUAUCAACUUUCGAUGGUAGUUUACACGCCUACCAUGGUUGUAACGGGUAACGGAGAAUAAGGGUUCGACUCCGGAGAGGGAGCCUGAGAAACGGCUACCACAUCCAAGGAAGGCAGCAGGCGCGCAAAUUACCCACUCUCAGCUCGAGGAGGUAGUGACGAAAAAUAACGAGACGGUUCUCUAUGAGGUCCGUCAUCGGAAUGGGUACAAUUUAAACCCUUUAACGAGGAUCUAUUGGAGGGCAAGUCUGGUGCCAGCAGCCGCGGUAAUUCCAGCUCCAAUAGCGUAUAUUAAAGUUGUUGCGGUUAAAAAG
rnacentral:rRNA from 1 species